rnacentral:misc_RNA from 1 species
GAUGAAGAACGUAGCGAAAUGCGAUAAGUAGUGUGAAUUGCAGAAUUCCGUGAAUCAUCGAAUCUUUGAACGCACAUUGCGCCUUCUGGUAUUCCGGAAGGCAUGCCUGUUCGAGAGUCAUUAACAACCGUUUCGAUCCCUUUCUUUCAGAAAUUACAAAGAGGAAAAGGGUUUGGUUAUGGUGGAGGAGGGAAAGGGAGCGUUUAGCCUGUAAAAAAAGAGGCUGUGUUCCGCCUCCCCCCCAAAAUUGUACAGGCGGUCGUGUGCGCCCACGCAUCGAGGUGUUGUAAAAGCUGCCACGGCACUUUUCACCUGUGCAGUGCGAGGUUGGCCAGCCGGUUUAAAAACCCCUCCAAACAAUCAAAGGUUGACCUCGGAUCAGGUAGGGAUACCCGCUGAACUUAAGCAUAUCAAUAAGCGGAGGA